UACGUAGGGAGCAAGCGUUGUCCGGAAUCAUUGGGCGUAAAGAGCGUGUAGGCGGUCCGGUAAGUCCGUUGUGAAAGUCGGGGGCUCAACCCUCGAAUGCCGGCGGAUACUGUCGGACUAGAGUCCGGAAGAGGCGAGUGGAAUUCCUGGUGUAGCGGUGAAAUGCGCAGAUAUCAGGAGGAACACCGAUGGCGAAGGCAGCUCGCUGGGACGGUACUGACGCUGAGACGCGAAAGCGUGGGGAGCAAACAGG
rnacentral:rRNA from 1 species